UCAUAGCUUGAGACACUGCAAGUAUCAUUGGUUAAGGAGAGUUUCAUACUUUACCAACAAAAUGACUUUCAGAGCAGCAAUAUACAGAUACAGAUAUGGAAUAUCAGAUAGAGGUCAAACAAUAACACAUACAGACAUGGAAUAUCAGAUAGAGGUCAAACAAUAACACAUACAGACAUGGAAUAUCAGAUAGAGGUCAAAUGUCCAAAUAGCUGUACCCUAUAAGUCAGUGUACCCUACAGGUCAGUGUACCCUAUAGGUCAGUGUACC